AUGCGCUGCAGAUGCACACAGCUCUCCAUAAUUUUGUAUGAAAUUAGAGACAGACACAGACUGAGAGUCAGAUGCAACAUGCAGUUAAGGCGUGAGGAGGUUUUUGUACAGCCUCUCAAUGAGCUUGUAUCACUGUGGUACACGUUUGGUAGCGGCACCAGACUGAAUGUUGGCACCAACAGGCAGCCCAGUGUGACGGUGCUGCCUCCCUCCAGAGAGGAGCUGUCCAGUGGGGGCUCUGCCACACUGCUGUGCCUGGCUGACAAGGGCUUCCCCUCAGACUGGAGCCUGAGCUGGAAGGUGGAUGGCAGCAGUAGGAGUGGAGUGGCCAGUGCUGGGCUCAUGAAGGACGGUGUGUACAGCUGGAGCAGCAGCCUGACCCUCACUGAUGCUGAGUGGAGAGGAGCCACCUCAGUGGUGUGUGAGGCCACCCAGGGAUCCCAGAGAGCCGUCAGCAAAGCCCUGAGCAGAGCUGACUGCUCCCAGUAGCCUCCAGACUCCAAUCUGCUCUCUGCUGACUCC